rnacentral:snRNA from 1 species
GUGCAUCCGUGGGCAGCACUAAAACUGAGUGAUAUGGAGGAGAUUAGCAUGGCCCCUGUGCACGGAUCACACGCAAAUUCAUGAAGCGUUCAAUGUUUUG